GAGGAGCGAGCGAGCGGCUCACUUCGCUUUCUCUUGAGGGGAGGAGAGAGCUAUCUGUACGGGAAAUAAUCAUGAUAAUAAAAAACAGGGAAACCCGGUCGAGAAAAGCUGAAUGGACGGGGCCGGCGCGACGUCACGGCGAGCCGCUGCCACAAAGCGAAAGACCAAGGGAGGGCCAACCCCAGGAGCACAUUUAUCCACCGUAGCCUGGAUCGUUCGGUUGAUGGCUGUGGAAAGCGUAUGACAAAUCCUCACAUCAUCGCGGGUCUUCGAGGGGAGGGACCUCGCAAAAGAACAUUUCUGGAGGGACGGGCCACACGGCACAGGCCUGCGGGUGGCGUGGGCGAUGCGCAGGGCUCACUAGCGCCCCCCUGGUGGUGGGGAGGGGAGGAAACGGGAAGCCCGAAGGGGUUGGUUGUUCUCUUUGGUUAUCUAGCUGUAUGAGUGGUGUACGGUCUUCAUAAAGCUAGAUAACCGAAAGCAACAAGAAUCCCAUUACACACCUGGAAGGGAUGCGGAAGCCUUUCUGUUUCUCCUCCCCACGGAGGAGAGGAGAGAAAACAGGGGGAAGACGCCUGAGAGAGAAAGAGAGAGAGAAAGACUGAGAGACAAGCAGCCUGGUGGAGAGGACGACUGAAGACUCUCAUCUACGAGGAGAGAGAGAGAGAGAGAGAGAGAGAGAGAGAGAGAGAGAGCGGGAGGGGCCGCCAUCCCCAGCUCCACCCCUCCCUCCCUUCCUCUUCGCUGACACGCCUCCCCCCUCCCCCCCCCCCCCCACCUCGUCAGCGUGCCCCCUUCCCUCGCAUCGCGAGACGCCGCGCUCCGGAGCCGCCACCAUCUUAGAGAGACCAGGGGGCGCUGGCACGAAAUGGAGCCCGCCAAGGCAGAAGGUCUGCAGGCCGCCGCCGCCGCCGCCGCCUGGAGCCGGGAGCGGGCGGGGACGCCGCCCGUUGCCACGGAGACGUCGCCACGGAGACGUCACCGCGGGCCGCGCCCCUCUCACCCGCUCAGCGAAACGCCGCCAUCCUCGCUCGCUGGCCGGACGGGGCGUCGCCUCGGACGAGGCAGGAUUCCAGCCGCACAGUUUGGCGCCUGACAUCGGCGCCGUCUUCUCUCCUUCAGCGGCGGACUUCACGGGGCCCGAUCAGAACUUUGACGGUCACGGUCCUGUUCCUCAGAGAGCCAAAAUGGGUCGGGCCACAGGCCCUCGGUUGGGUCGGGCCACAGGCCUUGGGUUGGGUUGGGUCAGAGGAGUUGGGUUGGGUUGGGUCAGAGGAGCUGGGAGUCCCCCCAGCUCGAUGCACUGGGCCCCAGACGAGCAGAGUUCCUCUCCGGCCCUGUGGCGUUGGGAUCGUCCGGAGGUCCGCACAGCGCCUACACCGUCAUCGACCGUCCGCGUCCCCCUCUUCCCGCCUCCCGUCCGUCCCCGUGCUGACGGGCGGGCGCUCUGGUCCGACCCCGUUCCCCCAUCUGCCUAACCUGAACACCCCAGCGGCGGGGUACGCCUUGAGGAGCCGUCAGGAGACGACCCAGGGAGUCGGGACCAUUUCCUGCCACACCACACCGACCUCACCCAGUGGGGGGAGGGGGACCCCGCCGUCAAAAUGACCUGCAGGACGUCCCCAUCAAAAGGACAUGCAGGACAUCCUCAUCAAAAUGACCUACAGGACGUCCCCAUUGAAAGGACAUGCAGGACAUCCUCAUCAAAAUGACCUGCAGGACGUCCCCAUUGAAAGGACAUGCAGGACGUCCCCGUCGAAAUGGCACACAGGGUGGCCUGUGUCGGGCAGGGGUGGUGGAGGAAACCCCGUGUCCCCCUCAUCACAUCAGCUGCACGACAGCACGUGUCAGCGCAUCCCGAAAUCGUGUCCCGGGUGAAAUAGAGCGUCAGGUUCCCUUCCUGCGCCCCCAAACCCAACUCACAAACAUCUGCUGCCCAUCUCUAGCUGAGCAUUCAUUUACUGCCUCCCAGAAAACAUUCUACAGUAUGUCAUUAUACAAUGUACAACAGAAUAUAUAAAACACACAGUGUACAACAGAAUAAAACACACAGUGUACAACAGAAUAAAACACAGUGUACAACAGAAUAUAAAACACACAGUGCACAACAGAAUAUAUAAAACACAGUGUACAGCACCAAAUGUAAAAUACACACUGUACAACAGAAUAUAAAAUACACAGUGUACAACACAAAAUAUAAAACACAGUGUACAACACAAAAUAUAAAAUACAGUGUACAACACAAAAUACAAAACACACAGUGUACAAUACAAAGUAUAAAAUGCACAGUAAAACACAAUAUUAAAUACAGCGUACAACACAAAAUAUAAAACACACAGUACAUGAUAAAUAUAAGAUACACAGUGCACAAUACACAAUAUAAAAUAUACAAUGUAUAAUAUGAAAUAUAGAAUGUACUGAAUAAUUCAGACAUGCUAGUUUUAUUUUCAAUUUUAUAAAUAUUUGAUAGAAUAGAUAUUUUUAAGAAAUAUUCAAAUUUUUACAUUUAUCCAAUAUUGUAGAGAUAGAAUUACUUAUUAUCUCAAGGUGUAGGUCGUAACUUUUUUUUUAUCUUUAACUUGUUUAAAUUUUUGCCACAAUAUUUUGUCAUGAUUCUUGCUAGCUAUUGAUUUGUACUUAUUAAUAUUGACCGUGUUAUUUCUUUAGCGUUCGCAUGAACGAACAGAAACAUUUUGUGCCUUAACCUUCAGAAAGAUGCUGAAUGUCCUCUCGGAUCUUUUACGCCGGUGCCUGAAACGUUCCGCAUUCCCGUUCACGUGCGCAUUUCUUUGUUCUCGCGCGUUUCGCGCUGGCAGAGGCCACGCCUUCCCUGCGACUGCUGACAAUGAUUGACAGGUGUCUGAAUGUGGAAACCCACGGCAGCAGUGAAGGAAACUGCACUGUGAUUGGACGGCUCUGUGUGUGUGGGGUGACACACGGGUGAAGGGGCGGGCCGUCACCUUUAGGUUCUAUGCAACUGUGGGGGGGAACAUGCAAUCAGCCGAAAUUAGGGUCCAGCUCCUGACUCCUGGGUGGCUGAAGCCUCAUUAUAAAAAUUGAGUAAAAUGCACUGAAAGAGCAAUAUGCAAUUUUUUGAAAAUUUACAAUGUUAUUUUUACAAUUUUUAUUUUAUUUUUUUAACCUAAUUCAAAUUCAAAGGGAGAUCCGUUAUAAGUCAGACCAGGAGAACUCACUGGCUUAAAAGGCACAGAGGGUCUUUCUCCCUGAAAAUCCACCAGCACUUGGUAUUACUUGAACGCGUAUGUCCAAUUUGGGGCCAUAAGAAAUUACAGGCAACAAAAUUGAAAAUUUAAAAAUUUAACUCAGGUCAAGUCUAGGAUCGUACAAUCAGACAUAACGCGCACGUGAAAAAGCCAGAGGAGGACAGUUUCGGAAAUGCUUGAUACAUCCAACUAGGCACUUUCUCUGGAUUUAAAGAAACUGAACUUUUAAGCAGAUG